CUUGGUCAUUUAGAGGAAGUAAAAGUCAUAACAAGGUUUCCGUAGGUGAACCUGCGGAAGGAUCAUUAAUAAUGCUCUCUGGCUUCGGUCAGUUGAGUUCAAUGAGUGCCUUCUCUUCGGAGUUGGCCAUCCAUACACACCGUGAACUGUGGCUUCGGCCAUCACAAACUGUUAGUAAUGAAUGUAAUAUCAUAACAAAAACAAAACUUUUAACAACGGAUCUCUUGGCUCUCGCAUCGAUGAAGAACGCAGCGAAAUGCGAUAAGUAAUGUGAAUUGCAGAAUUCAGUGAAUCAUCGAAUCUUUGAACGCACCUUGCGCCCUUUGGUAUUCCAUGGGGCAUGCCUGUUCGAGCGUCAUUUGUACCUUCAAGCUCUGCUUGGUGUUGGGUGUUUGUCUCGCCUUUGCGUGUAGACUCGCCUCAAAACAAUUGGCAGCCGGCGUAUUGAUUUCGGAGCGCAGUACAUCUCGCGCUUUGCACUCAUAACGACGACGUCCAAAAAGUACAUUUUUACACUCUUGACCUCGGAUCAGGUAGGGAUACCCGCUGAACUUAAGCAUAUCAAUAAGCGGAGGAA
rnacentral:rRNA from 1 species